CAAUAAGCGGAGGAAAAGAAACCAACAGGGAUUACCUCAGUAACGGCGAGUGAAGCGGUAACAGCUCAAAUUUGAAAUCUGGCCCUUUCAGGGUCCGAGUUGUAAUUUGUAGAAGAUGCUUCGGGUGUGGCUCCGGUCUAAGUUCCUUGGAACAGGACGUCAUAGAGGGUGAGAAUCCCGUAUGUGACUGGCUGCCUCCGCCCAUGUGAAGCUCUUUCGACGAGUCGAGUUGUUUGGGAAUGCAGCUCAAAAUGGGUGGUAAAUUUCAUCUAAAGCUAAAUAUUGGCCAGAGACCGAUAGCGCACAAGUAGAGUGAUCGAAAGAUGAAAAGCACUUUGGAAAGAGAGUUAAACAGUACGUGAAAUUGUUGAAAGGGAAGCGCUUGCAAUCAGACUUGCACGUAGCCGAUCAUCCGGGGUUCUCCCCGGUGCACUCGGUUGCGUUCAGGCCAGCAUCGGUUUGGGUGGUUGGAUAAAGGCCUUGGGAAUGUGGCUUCCUUCGGGGAGUGUUAUAGCCCUCGGUGCAAUGCAGCCUACCCGGACCGAGG
rnacentral:rRNA from 1 species